rnacentral:rRNA from 1 species
UACGGGGGGGGCAAGCGUUGUUCGGAAUUACUGGGCGUAAAGGGUUUGUAGGUGGCCGGCUAAGUCAGACGUGAAAUCCCUCAGCUUAACCGGGGAACUGCGUCUGAUACUGGAUGGCUUGAGUGUGGGAGAGGGAUGCGGAAUUCCAGGUGUAGCGGUGAAAUGCGUAGAUAUCUGGAGGAACACCGGUGGCGAAGGCGGCAUCCUGGACCAUUACUGACACUGAAAAGCGAAAGCCAGGGGAGCAAACGGG